CUCUGCCUGCUUAGCUCUAGCCUUUAAGUCGUCGUUCCUAACUAACAAAUCUCUUAUCAUCUCACUGUCUGUGUACUCCUCGCUAGAGUCCAUCGUCUCUUGGGUCAAGGAAUUACUAUUUUGACUUUCGUCAUCCAUCCUAUGACCACAAUAAACGAGACAACAUCAUUACUGAAAUAAAAUAUAUUCAUCAUUAAAAUGAAGUAAUAUUUUAUUUAGUACCACUAAAACUCGAUGAAUCUCGUCAACUCAUCAUAUCCUAUAACUUCUCACCAGAGUACUUCGUCUCAUGGUUCACUGAAUAUCUAUCUUACUUUCGUCCUCCAUUCUACUAAGGUUAUAACCUAGGUUUCGCACUCCUAACGUUUAUAACCUACAGCUUUGAUACCAACCUGUGACANNN
rnacentral:lncRNA from 1 species